rnacentral:rRNA from 1 species
UACAGAGGUGGCAAGCGUUGUUCGGAAUUACUGGGCGUAAAGGGCGCGUAGGCGGUUCGUCAAGUCCUGUGUGAAAUCCCCCGGCUCAACUGGGGAACUGCACAGGAAACUAGCGGGCUUGAGUUCGGGAGAGGGAAGCGGAAUUCCGGGUGUAGCGGUGAAAUGCGUAGAUAUCCGGAGGAACACCGGUGGCGAAGGCGGCUUCCUGGACCGACACUGACGCUGAGGCGCGAAAGCUAGGGGAGCAAACGGGG